UAUCCGUAGGUGAACCUGCGGAAGGAUCAUUAAAGAGAUCAUGCCCUCACGGGUAGACCUCCAACCCUUUGUUUACAAUACCUUUGUUGCUUUGGCGGGUCCGUUUGGCCCCGCGCUGAACAACCGGCCCCGGCUGGUCAGAGCCCGCCAGAGAACCGAAAACUCUGAAUUAAAUGUCGUCUGAGUACUAUGUAAUAGUUAAAACUUUCAACAACGGAUCUCUUGGUUCUG
rnacentral:misc_RNA from 1 species